GGAAGGACUGUGGCUCAGUGGUAGAGCAUCUGCUUUGCAUGCAGAAGGUCUCAGGUUCAUUCUCUGGCAUCUCCA